GGAAUCUUCCACAAUGGGCGAAAGCCUGAUGGAGCAACGCCGCGUGAGUGAGGAAGGCUUUCGGGUCGUAAAGCUCUGUUGCCAGGGAAGAACGCCUGGGAGAGUAACUGCUCCUGGGGUGACGGUACCUGAGAAGAAAGCCCCGGCUAACUACGUGCCAGCAGCCGCGGUAAUACGUAGGGGGCAAGCGUUGUCCGGAAUUAUUGGGCGUAAAGCGCGCGCAGGCGGUCUUUUAAGUCUGGUGUCUAAGUGCGGGGCUCAACCCCGUGAUGCACUGGAAACUGGGAGACUUGAGUGCAGAAGAGGAGAGCGGAAUUCCACGUGUAGCGGUGAAAUGCGUAGAGAUGUGGAGGAACACCAGUGGCGAAGGCGGCUCUCUGGACUGUAACUGACGCUGAGGCGCGAAAGCGUGGGGAGC
rnacentral:rRNA from 1 species